CUCGCAGCUCCAUCCUUAUGCAGAUGUGGUUUUGCCACUGAACAGGCCGGACGCGAAGUGUCUUGGCAAACAGUGGACGUGAGAAUGCGGUGACAGAUGGUGUAUUUCCGUCACUGCAGCCAUUGAACACCUGGUUGUGGAUCACUUGGAGGUACUGCGUCACAUUGUUAUGACGUGAGCACCAGGCUCCACCCGAGUUCAGUCGACCGAGCCAUGGUUUGAAUCCUGGUCCGAGCCAGCUUGAUGCGGACAUAGACGAGUUGUUGAUCUGUGCCGUCGCUAUACCGACUGGAUGUUCACAAGGAUCCACAACUAAAAAGCACAAGAAGAAGAAACAUCAAUCUUAAAUAAGGUUGCACUCAAAGAAUCCGUCAUAAACUACAAUGCUUUAUCAAAUAAACAUAAAAACAGUCCUUAUCCAAGUA